GUAUUAUAUGACAAAAAAAAACAGUUUUACCUUAAAAUUCAGACUUUCUACUAAAAUAAACUGUAAUUUUGAUCUUAUUUCAACCUUUAUUUUUGUUUUUAUUUUUAUUGACAUAAAUGUGUUUUUCUAGAAUUUGAAUCCAGUCUGUACUGAAAAUGUCCAUAAAACCUCAAAAGUCACUCAAAUUGAAACAAUAUUUUGUUAAACGUUAUGGUUCACUACAAACUACUAUUCCUUAACGGGAUUUUCGUUGCAAAUUGAUAUAAGCUUAUUUAAAUAAAUGAUGAAAAACUGAAAAAUAUACCUAAAAUUAUCUCCCUUUGUAAAACUCUUCACAAUAAAAGGUAGAUUUAUUGUCAAUAACAGAAGGAGGGAAAUCAACAAAUGUGCAAAAGGAUAGAAAAUAAUGGUAUUUUUUUAUGAAUAUGGUGUAGCCAAAAACUUAUUUUCAUUGAAAGAGUGUAACAAAGACAUAGUAAACCAUAUGGCCAAGACAUUCAAACUGCCAUUGGGAUAAGUCUGAUCCUGAUCAGAUUAAGUCUAGACAUGACAUGAGGCUAGACUCACUAUCAUGUCUAGGUUUCAGACUCACAUAACAUAAUUUUAAAUGCAUAUGCUGCAAACAUGGACAGGAGUUGGAUUGCAGUGGACAAGAAGACAAAAUGAGUUGAUGUCAUCCUUUCAUGACCCUUGCAAAUCUAGCAACGGAAAUUCGUAGGCAAAACUUUCAGUUUCAUUUGGUUCUGGUUAAUGUUGAAGAUGGAAAAGCACAAAAAAAAUAUAUAAAUGAAAGCAGAUACAUGUAUGAUAGGAGAUCAUAUAGAUAUUUGGUGAUCCAAAAAUAACUGGAGUUCAUGAAACAAGACUGAUUGCUGGGACACAUUUUUGUUGAUAAACAUGUUUAUGAUGAAGAAAAACUUGGAUAGUAUUACGGAUACUUGAAUAAGGCUCUGAUCUGUCUUUGAUUUUUCCUGUUGGUGUUAAAAAAUUGCAAGCUCAAAUAAAAAUUAAUUGAAAUGGAACUCAUGGAUAUGCUUUGAAAAAAGAAUUAAACAGCAAUGUGAAUCUCGCCAAAGUCUUACCAACAACCAAGUCAACACACAGUUGCAACACAAAUGAGAAGAGAGAGACAUUUGCAAGGACUUAGAGUGUUCUCACUGUCUCACCAUUAAAAUGGCUUUCUCAUCAGCAAAGAAGAAGUCUUAAAAUUACUUCUGCAUUAAAAGGUCAUCAAUAUUGAAGACAAUCAAGAAGAUUACGGUUGUACUUGGCCAUUUGAUAAACAUUAUAAUAUUUUCAUUUGUCAGAAAUUGUUACUUAGAUUGACUAACUAGUUUUAUUGAUUGAAUUGUUAGUAAAUUACCUU